ensembl:lncRNA
CACACGACUUCAGAGUGUUUGCGUGGCAGCACACGUGUCCCUGGCGUGUUCUUAGCAUGUCCGUGUUACUGCACACGUGUCCCUAAUGUGUUCACGCCUGUCCUUACUGUGUUUGGUUUUGCUACACGUAUGUGCUUAGCAUGGCUGUGUGGUCACACACGUGGCCUUAGUGUGUCCGUAUUGCCACACGUGUGUCCUUAGCAUGACCACGUGACUACACACACACGUCCUUAGCAUGUCUUAUUCCUGUACAUACAUGUCCUUAUAUGUCCAUAUUCCUGCACACGUAUGUCCUUAGCAUGUUGAUAUUCCUCCACAUACAUGUCCUUAUAUGUCCCUAUCCCUGCACAUGUAUGUCCUUAGCAUGUUGAUAUUCCUGCACAUAUAUGUCCUUGCCAUGUCCAUAUUCCUGCACAUACAUGUCCUUAUAUGUCCAUAUUCCUGCACAUAUGUCCUUACAUGUCCAUGUUCCCGCACAUACAUGUCCUUACCGUGUCCAUGUGGCCGCUCACACAUCCCCACACGCCCCACAUCCCCCAUAGAUGCUCCCCACCCCACACCAAGGUGGGUUCUCGCCCCACAGGACCCCCCAGGCCCCAUAAGUGCCACCGCACCCCAUAAAUCACAGCAGACCCCACAAGUAGCACUGGGCCCCACAGGAUCCGCCCGGCCCCAUAGGUUACACCCGGCCCCAUAAGUGACAUCAGGCCCCAUAAGUCACAACAGGCACCGUAGGUCACUCCACACCCCCUAAGAUCCACCCAGCCCCACAAGUGGCACCAGGCCCCACAGAUCACUGUAGGCCCCACAGAUCACUGCAGGCCCCAUAGAUCUCAGCAGCCCCACGGAUCUCAGCAGCCCCAUAGAUCUCAGCAGGCUCCACGGAUCACUGCAGGCCCCAUAGAUCUCAGCAGGCCCCACAGAUCGCAGCAGGCCCCAGAGAUGUCAGCAGCCCCAUGGAUCUCAGCAGCCCCAUAGAUCUCAGCAGGCUCCAUGGAUCACUGCAGGCCCCACAGCUCUCAGCAGCCCCACGGAUCUCAGCAGCCCCACAGAUCACAGCAGGCCCCACAGAUCUCAGCAGGCCCCACAGAUCACUGCAGGCCGCACAGACCUCAGCAGGCCCCAUGGCUCACUGCAGCCCCAUAGAUCUCAGUAAGCCCCACAGAUCUCAGCAGACCCAUAGAUCUCAGCAGGCCCCACAGAUCACUGUAGACCCCAUGGAUCACUGCAGGCCCCACAGAUCACAGCAGCCCCAUAGAUCUCAGCAGGCCCCAUAGAUCACUGCAGGCCGCACAGACCUCAGCAGCCCCACAGAUCACUGUAGACCCCAUGGAUCACUGCAGGCCCCACAGAUCACUGCAGGCCCCACAGAUCUCAGCAGCCCCAUGGAUCUCAGCAGCCCCACAGAUCACUGCAGGCCGCACAGACCUCAGCAGCCCCACAGAUCACUGCAGGCCCCACAGAUCACUGUAGACCCCAUGGAUCACUGCAGGCCCCACAGAUCGCAGCAGCCCCAUAGAUCUCAGCAGCCCCAUAGUUCACUGCAGGCCCCACAGAUCUCAGUAGGCCCCAUGGCUCACUGCAGCCCCACAGAUCUCAGCAGACCCACAGAUCUCAGCAGGCCCCAUAGAUUGCUGCAGGCCCCACAGAUCACUGUAGACCCCAUGGAUCACUGCAGGCCCCACAGAUCACAGCAGGCUCCAUGGAUCUCAGCAUCCCCACAGAUCACUGCAGGCCCCACAGAUCACUGUAGACCCCAUGGAUCACGGAGGCCCCACAGAUCACAGCAGCCCCAUAGAUCUCAGCAGCCCCAUGGAUCACAGCAGCCCCAUGGAUCACUGCAGGCCCCACAGAUCUCGGCAGGCCGCACAGACCUCAGUAGGCCCCACGGCUCACUGCAGCCCCACGGAUCUCAGCAGCCCCACGGGUCCCGCCCAGCCCCACGGCAGCCGCUCAC